GCCAAGGUGGCAGAAUCCGGUAACGCGUGCGCCUGGAAAGCGCAUGACUCGCAAGAGUCUUUUGGGUUCAAAUCCCAACCUUGGCG
rnacentral:tRNA from 1 species